rnacentral:sRNA from 1 species
UAAUACGAAAUAGACUACUCGCCAGCAAA